rnacentral:rRNA from 1 species
UGCCGGCGACCGGCGACGGGUGCGUAACGCGUAUGUAACCUACCUUUGACAGGGGGAUAACAUCGAGAAAUUGGUACUAAUACCCCAUAACAUCACCGGAGGCAUCUUCGGUGGUUGAAAACUCAGGUGGUCAGAGAUGGACAUGCGUUAUAUUAGCUAGUUGGUGAGGUAACGGCUCACCAAGGCGACGAUACAUAGGGGGACUGAGAGGUCAACCCCCCACAUUGGUACUGAGACACGGACCAAACUCCUACGGGAGGCAGCAG